GUUGCAGAGGUGUUUGCCAUGGUUCGCGCCCACGUUGCAGCUUUGGGGGGAAAUGCCGUUGUGUCUUACAGCAUGAAGGAGUGUGUGUUGAUGGAAAAUCCCAAUAAGAACCAGGCACAGUGUCUCAUCAAUGUGAGUGGCGAUGCCGUCAUCUGCGUGCGGGAAUUGGAUCAGGAGCCCGCGUCAUCCGCAACAAGCCUCGGACAAGCGUGCACGAGUGGAAUGGAAGGGUCCACAUGACAUCUGCCAUCACUCAAACGCAACAGUCUAGCCGUCCAAAUGAGAGCAAGCUUCGGUUGCCUUAACUCUGUCAAAUAUCCCAAAGUUCGGAUGCCGCUUUUGAGAAGCAACACAUGCGCACAAAAGAAAAUUACAAAUACUGACAUGGAUUUUUCUCACAUGAGUAUUUCCACCACAAUUGUUAAUAAUAACAGCAAAAGAAGAAGCAUCUAUUUUUUGCCUGCUAGCAUCGUUCGGGUUUGCUUACCAGCUAUGACCGCACACUCAUUUAAAGCGGGGUACACAAAUGACAAUUUUUAACAUCUAAAAUGAUUUAAAAUGUUAAAAUCUCCACACGAUGAUGGGGGAGAAAAACUCAUUGUAUUCUUCAUGCCCUUAUGGUUUGUGUUGUACUCCAGAUAACACCACACAUGAUAUCUGACCAACAAUCGCUCGUCUCCUUACCCAAUCCAGAUAUGUGUCAUUAGUACCAAGUUUGACCUGGGAAGGGACAGCAUGGUGCCACAGGGCAUCCACACUGCCCAAAGAGAAUUUGCAAUUGUUAAAAUGGCACAGGUUUAAUAUUAACAUUUUUCAUAUCUGAUCAUUUUCGAGCAGAUCUGGGAGAAAGAAAACCACGUAACGUACCCCGCACAACAGGAGAAUCGUUCAGAAUAAUCUUUUGCGAGACAACGAAUUACUUUGGUCAACACGUUUUUAAUUCGAGAUGGAACAAAACUUUUUUGCGCUGAUGGCCUCUUUUUUUCCCUCACACACAUAAUAAGAAUUUAACAUUAACACAAUAUAUAAUAUAGAAAUAUCCAUCUGUCCAUCCAUUUUCGAAUCCGCUUAUCCUCACAAGGGUCGCGGGCGUGCUGUUUAAUAUUUAGGAAUUAAGGGUUUGGUUCAGCAACAGGUGGAUUUUUUUUUCUGAAACGUCAUCAUGGCUAUAAAUUACAACUCGUCCGGUCAAACUUAAAAACCAAAAAUGAAAAUAUCUCAAAAACCUGAUUAGCUAGAGAAAAAGUAGACAUAUUUUUUUAAAUCAGCUUUAAAAAUAAAUAUAGGGACACAUACAGUAGAGCCAACUGAUUAUAAUUCGCUGUUGACCAGUGUCAUCAAGCCUUUGCUGGAAUGUGCUCAAAACUCCCGAAUUAUCAAAUAUAUUUCCAAGGUAUCAAGAAUAAAAAUGUCAAACAAAUAAAUGGUGUUAUUUAUUCUUAUUAUAAAUGACAUAAUGUGGAGCUGGAAAACUCACUCAGGGUAAUAUUUUAGAGACCUCCGAUCAUCAGACCUUGGAUCAUAAAAAAUAAAAAAAACCUCACAUUUCUCAAUUAUUUGACAUAUGUAUACAGGCUUCAGUCAUUGAUACAAGGGACUAUAUAAUAUUUCAAAUUUGCGCAGAUUACAUUUUGUGUUUUUAAUUAUUGACAAUUAUGAGGAGGUGUUUGAAAGCAACAAUCAUCAGCAUGCACAAAUUUGCCAAGUCCAUUUUGGACUGUCUUUAUAAAACCUGUUCCAGUACAGUAUUGCUCCCAGGAAGCAUCACCUACCACAAUUCUUGAGUGUCAUAGAAUCAGGUCACAGCCCCGUCCUAUCCAAUCUGUUUGCUGUGAUUUAUACAGUUAUGGUUUUACCGCCAAAAAAAAAAACCUUUAAAAAUUGUAUAUAUUCAAAGAAAUCAUGUUUUCAUGUUUAUUCUGAGUCCUAAUCCUGCUACUGAUUUUUGUUUGUUGUUCAUGAUGUCCAGUGCUAGAAAUAUUUUUUUUUUCAUAGUAAGCUCUAAAUGUUGCUUUCUAAUAAUUUUGGGGGUUUUUAUUUUUUGUAAGUGCAAUAAAUGCAUGUUUGGAAUUA